ensembl:lncRNA
AUGUGGGUCAACUGGCCCUUUACAUUUUCUCCUCACAUUUUUCAUUUCAUAAAAGUAGCAGUAUCAUACCAAGAGAAACUAAAUAGUUGUGUGUGCAGGCUGCGGCAGGUGAAGAUAGAGAAGAGAAUACUGGCAGACCAAGGCAACUCGCUUGUGGACUUAUGCAAGAUGCAAAACCAGAUGUCUGACGUGCUGUCGGAGGUGCAGGGCUGCAGGGGGGGAGCUGGACUCACACAUCCACAGCCUGGAGAAGCACGUGGAGGAGUUGAGGGAGGGCUUCAGGAGCCUGAUGCCGCUGCUGUCCAACACCUUGUCCACGCAGAACUCCUCCAUCCGCCACCUGCUCAGGGAGAGGGAGUCGAAGACGGAGAGCGCUGGUGCAAGCGUAGACAGGUAGAAAUAAAGAAAUAAAGGAUUUUUCUGCCUUUAAUACAGCUAUAAUAACCAGGCCGGGAUGUUACUCUUACAAGAGGUAAGCAGACACAUGUUCGUAUCAAACUGCACAGAGGUGUGUCCGUUGUCAUUUCUGUAGCAGAAAUACCAUGAAACCAAACUGUAGAAAUCAGUCACAAUUACCUUCUUAUGGAGGCCUUUUACGUAUUCGCUGGAAUGACAGAAAAAAAUGUAAACACUGAUAGUAAAAUAACAACUUGCCACGAAAUGUGAACAAUUAAUUUUAUACGGACAAAUUGGAUUUGCUGUUUUUCUUGGUCAUAUAUGUUAGCAAAUGGGUUAUGGACUGUUAAAAUAACUUUUUUCUACUGUUUUGUGAUGUUUUAUUGACAAACCGUCACAGCCCUGAUCAAUACACGAACCAUCACUUCAAUGUUAGUGAGUACCGUAACCUGUAAAGUCUGCACUUUCCUUUUAUCAUGUAGAGAAAAUAAUAUACAUUGAAGUGUGGUUUGAUGUUGAAAUAUUCAAAUGUAAACUGACAGAACUAGUACCACUUUCUAAUAAAUAUUGUAAAAUGACUGCCGCUGUAUUAAAUGUCUCAGACAGCAGAGAAACUCCUUCCUUCAAACAGGAAACGUAACAAACACACUUCAGCCAAAACAUCAGUUGCAGAUGGAGAUUCAAGGCAAAUAGAAACGUGCGGAAACGCAUCCGCUGUGCAGUUUGUCGUCGGGUUUUACUUCAGAUCAGACUGCUGGAAGACGGCACGGAAAACGACCCCGAGCCUCCGUCCUCCAGCUGACGUGUUCAAUGACAAUUCAUCAAGCUGUAGAUAACGUUAUGCUAAGCUAGCGAAGUAUGUCAACAAAGCUCACGGGUAACUUAGAUAUACCAGAAAAUAUUAAAACCACUCACCCUGUUCGCAAUUCACUGACUAUGAAUACCCCCCCCAAAAAAAACUCAUCGAAUCUACACGAUUGACGUAGGUCACCUAUUUUGGUUUCAAAACGGCGAAUUUCGACGAAAUGUGAGGGAUUUUUAUGCCUGAUAUAUAUAUAUAUAUAUAUAUUAUAUAUACACACAUAGAGAGAUAAAGUCAAAGUAUGUUAUUUUAAAACGUAACAAAAGUCAUCACAUCAUAAUAAUUUGCUAAAAAGUUUGAAAAGAUUUGUACUAUGUCAACAAGUUAAAAAAGUUAAUAGUAUUUUUAAAUACUUAUGACUUAAAUAUAUUUUGACAUAAGUACUCAAAAUAUUUCA